AUACGUAGGUGGCAAGCGUUGUCCGGAUUUAUUGGGCGUAAAGCGAGCGCAGGCGGAAUGAUAAGUCUGAUGUGAAAGCCCACGGCUCAACCGUGGAACUGCAUCGGAAACUGUCAUUCUUGAGUGCAGAAGAGGAGAGUGGAACUCCAUGUGUAGCGGUGGAAUGCGUAGAUAUAUGGAAGAACACCAGUGGCGAAGGCGGCUCUCUGGUCUGCAACUGACGCUGAGGCUCGAAAGCAUGGGUAGCGAACAGGAUUAGAUACCCUGGUAGUCCAUGCCGUAAACGAUGAGCGCUAGGUGUUGGGGACUUUCCGGUCCUCAGUGCCGCAGCAAACGCAUUAAGCGCUCCGCCUGGGGAGUACGACCGCAAGGUUGAA
rnacentral:rRNA from 1 species